AGGGGGGGCGGCCUACACAUGCAAGUCGAGCGGCAGCGGGGAGUAGCUUGCUACUUUGCCGGCGAGCGGCGGACGGGUGAGUAAUGCUUGGGAACUUGCCUUUAGGAGGGGGAUAACCACGGGAAACUGUGGCUAAUACCGCAUAAUGUCUACGGACCAAAGCGGGGGCUCUUCGGACCUCGCACCUAAAGAUAGGCCCAAGUGAGAUUAGCUAGUUGGUGGGGUAAAGGCCCACCAAGGCGACGAUCUCUAGCUGUUCUGAGAGGAUGAUCAGCCACACUGGGACUGAGACACGGCCCAGACUCCUACGGGAGGCAGCAGUGGGGAAUAUUGCACAAUGGGGGAAACCCUGAUGCAGCCAUGCCGCGUGUGUGAAGAAGGCCUUCGGGUUGUAAAGCACUUUCAGUGGUGAGGAAGGCUUGUAGGUUAAUAGCCUGCAAGAUUGACGUUAGCCACAGAAGAAGCACCGGCUAACUCCGUGCCAGCAGCCGCGGUAAU
rnacentral:rRNA from 1 species